UACGUAGGUGGCAAGCGUUGUCCGGAAUUAUUGGGCGUAAAGCGCGCGCAGGCGGUCUCUUAAGUCUGAUGUGAAAUCCCGUGGCUUAACCACGGGCGGUCAUUGGAAACUGGGGGACUUGAGUGCAGAAGAGAAGAGCGGAAUUCCACGUGUAGCGGUGAAAUGCGUAGAUAUCUGGAGGAACACCGGUGGCGAAGGCGGCAUCCUGGACCAACACUGACGCUGAGUGAGCGAAAGCCAGGGGAGCAAACGGG
rnacentral:rRNA from 1 species